AGCGUACACGGUGGAUGCCCUGGCAGUCAGAGGCGAUGAAGGACGUGCUAAUCUGCGAUAAGCGUCGGUAAGGUGAUAUGAACCGUUAUAACCGGCGAUUUCCGAAUGGGGAAACCCAGUGUGAUUCGUCACACUAUCAUUAACUGAAUCCAUAGGUUAAUGAGGCGAACCGGGGGAACUGAAACAUCUAAGUACCCCGAGGAAAAGAAAUCAACCGAGAUUCCCCCAGUAGCGGCGAGCGAACGGGGAGCAGCCCAGAGCCUGAAUCAGUGUGUGUGUUAGUGGAAGCGUCUGGAAAGGCGUGCGAUACAGGGUGACAGCCCCGUACACAAAAAUGCACAUACUGUGAGCUCGAUGAGUAGGGCGGGACACGUGGUAUCCUGUCUGAAUAUGGGGGGACCAUCCUCCAAGGCUAAAUACUCCUGACUGACCGAUAGUGAACCAGUACCGUGAGGAAAGGCGAAAGAACCCCGGCAGGGGAGUGAAAAAGAACCUGAAACCGUGUACGUACAAGCAGUGGGAGCACGCUUAGGCGUGUGACUGCGUACCUUUGUAUAAUGGGUCAGCGACUUAUAUUCUGUAGCAAGGUUAACCGAAUAGGGGAGCCGAAGGGAAACCGAGUCUUAACUGGGCGUUAAGUUGCAGGGUAUAGACCCGAAACCCGGUGAUCUAGCCAUGGGCAGGUUGAAGGUUGGGUAACACUAACUGGAGGACCGAACCGACUAAUGUUGAAAAAUUAGCGGAUGACUUGUGGCUGGGGGUGAAAGGCCAAUCAAACCGGGAGAUAGCUGGUUCUCCCCGAAAGCUAUUUAGGUAGCGCCUCGUGAAUUCAUCUCCGGGGGUAGAGCACUGUUUCGGCAAGGGGGUCAUCCCGACUUACCAACCCGAUGCAAACUGCGAAUACCGGAGAAUGUUAUCACGGGAGACACACGGCGGGUGCUAACGUCCGUCGUGAAGAGGGAAACAACCCAGACCGCCAGCUAAGGUCCCAAAGUCAUGGUUAAGUGGGAAACGAUGUGGGAAGGCCCAGACAGCCAGGAUGUUGGCUUAGAAGCAGCCAUCAUUUAAAGAAAGCGUAAUAGCUCACUGGUCGAGUCGGCCUGCGCGGAAGAUGUAACGGGGCUAAACCAUGCACCGAAGCUGCGGCAGCGACGCUUAUGCGUUGUUGGGUAGGGGAGCGUUCUGUAAGCCUGUGAAGGUGUACUGUGAGGUAUGCUGGAGGUAUCAGAAGUGCGAAUGCUGACAUAAGUAACGAUAAAGCGGGUGAAAAGCCCGCUCGCCGGAAGACCAAGGGUUCCUGUCCAACGUUAAUCGGGGCAGGGUGAGUCGACCCCUAAGGCGAGGCCGAAAGGCGUAGUCGAUGGGAAACAGGUUAAUAUUCCUGUACUUGGUGUUACUGCGAAGGGGGGACGGAGAAGGCUAUGUUGGCCGGGCGACGGUUGUCCCGGUUUAAGCGUGUAGGCUGGUUUUCCAGGCAAAUCCGGAAAAUCAAGGCCGAGGCGUGAUGACGAGGCACUACGGUGCUGAAGCAACAAAUGCCCUGCUUCCAGGAAAAGCCUCUAAGCAUCAGGUAACAUCAAAUCGUACCCCAAACCGACACAGGUGGUCAGGUAGAGAAUACCAAGGCGCUUGAGAGAACUCGGGUGAAGGAACUAGGCAAAAUGGUGCCGUAACUUCGGGAGAAGGCACGCUGAUACGUAGGUGAAGCGACUUGCUCGUGGAGCUGAAAUCAGUCGAAGAUACCAGCUGGCUGCAACUGUUUAUUAAAAACACAGCACUGUGCAAACACGAAAGUGGACGUAUACGGUGUGACGCCUGCCCGGUGCCGGAAGGUUAAUUGAUGGGGUUAGCGCAAGCGAAGCUCUUGAUCGAAGCCCCGGUAAACGGCGGCCGUAACUAUAACGGUCCUAAGGUAGCGAAAUUCCUUGUCGGGUAAGUUCCGACCUGCACGAAUGGCGUAAUGAUGGCCAGGCUGUCUCCACCCGAGACUCAGUGAAAUUGAACUCGCUGUGAAGAUGCAGUGUACCCGCGGCAAGACGGAAAGACCCCGUGAACCUUUACUAUAGCUUGACACUGAACAUUGAGCCUUGAUGUGUAGGAUAGGUGGGAGGCUUUGAAGUGUGGACGCCAGUCUGCAUGGAGCCGACCUUGAAAUACCACCCUUUAAUGUUUGAUGUUCUAACGUGGACCCGUGAUCCGGGUUGCGGACAGUGUCUGGUGGGUAGUUUGACUGGGGCGGUCUCCUCCUAAAGAGUAACGGAGGAGCACGAAGGUUGGCUAAUCCUGGUCGGACAUCAGGAGGUUAGUGCAAUGGCAUAAGCCAGCUUGACUGCGAGCGUGACGGCGCGAGCAGGUGCGAAAGCAGGUCAUAGUGAUCCGGUGGUUCUGAAUGGAAGGGCCAUCGCUCAACGGAUAAAAGGUACUCCGGGGAUAACAGGCUGAUACCGCCCAAGAGUUCAUAUCGACGGCGGUGUUUGGCACCUCGAUGUCGGCUCAUCACAUCCUGGGGCUGAAGUAGGUCCCAAGGGUAUGGCUGUUCGCCAUUUAAAGUGGUACGCGAGCUGGGUUUAGAACGUCGUGAGACAGUUCGGUCCCUAUCUGCCGUGGGCGCUGGAGAACUGAGGGGGGCUGCUCCUAGUACGAGAGGACCGGAGUGGACGCAUCACUGGUGUUCGGGUUGUCAUGCCAAUGGCACUGCCCGGUAGCUAAAUGCGGAAGAGAUAAGUGCUGAAAGCAUCUAAGCACGAAACUUGCCCCGAGA
rnacentral:rRNA from 1 species